rnacentral:tRNA from 1 species
GGAGGUAUAGCUCAGUAGUGGAGCAUGUGCCUAGCAUGUGUGAGGUCCUGGGUUCAAUCCCCAGUCCCUCCA